CCUACGGGGAGCUGCAGUGAGGAAUAUUGGUCAAUGGACGAGAGUCUGAACCAGCCAAGUAGCGUGAAGGAUGACUGCCCUAUGGGUUGUAAACUUCUUUUAUAAAGGAAUAAAACGAGGCACGUGUGCCUGUUUGCAUGUACUUUAUGAAUAAGGAUCGGCUAACUCCGUGCCAGCAGCCGCGGUAAUACGGAGGAUCCGAGCGUUAUCCGGAUUUAUUGGGUUUAAAGGGAGCGUAGAUGGGUUGGUAAGUCAGUUGUGAAAGUUUGCGGCUCAACCGUAAAAUUGCAAUUGAUACUGGCAGUCUUGAGUACAGUUGAGGUAGGCGGAAUGCGUGGUGUAGCGGUGAAAUGCUUAGAUAUCACGAAGAACCCCGAUUGCGAAGGCAGCUUACUAAACUGUGACUGACAUUGAUGCUCGAAAGUGUGGGUAUCAAACAGGAUUAGAUACCCCUGUAGUC
rnacentral:rRNA from 1 species